UGGGGAAUAUUGCACAAUGGGGGAAGCCCUGAUGCAGCAACGCCGCGUGAAGGAAGACGGUUUUCGGAUUGUAAACUUCUGUUCUUAGUGAAGAAUAAUGACGGUAGCUAAGGAGCAAGCCACGGCUAACUACGUGCCAGCAGCCGCGGUAAUACGUAGGUGGCAAGCGUUGUCCGGAAUUACUGGGUGUAAAGGGAGCGCAGGCGGGAGACCAAGUCAGCUGUGAAAACUACGGGCUUAACCUGUAGACUGCAGUUGAAACUGGUUUUCUUGAGUGAAGUAGAGGUUGGCGGAAUUCCGAGUGUAGCGGUGAAAUGCGUAGAUAUUCGGAGGAACACCGGUGGCGAAGGCGGCCAACUGGGCUUUAACUGACGCUGAGGCUCGAAAGUGUGGGAGCAAACAGGAUUAGAUACC
rnacentral:rRNA from 1 species